AGUUAAUCAUAUCAAACGGACAAAAUGCAUAGUAUAUGAUAAUUUACCAUAUAUCACAACACCUACUUGACGCCAUCUCAUGAAUUAGACCUUUACUUUCAUUGCAAAUAAAAUUUAAAUAAGACUUAAAAAUAAAUAUAGAAAUUUGUUCAUUCCUGGCCAAUCCGACUACCCAGAUAUCUGAAAAUUUGUACACUUGCAUUGUUCAUUGGACUGGGUGAGUGUUAAAAGUUUCAUACUUCUAUAUGAUCUGGAAGCAUAUUAAAAUUAAAUUUUAAAUUUUAAAAGGCAAUUUGAAAAUUUGUCCGUUUCUGGCCAUUCUGACAACCGAGAAUUCUGAAAAUUUGUCAACUUGCAUUGUCAUCAGGUUCUAACAAGUGUACAAAAUUUCAGAUUUACACGUGCUCUAGAAGUAUCCUAAAAAUCGAUUACAACAUUUGUGGAUAGAUAGACAUGGAGGCAAGUUAAUAAAAGCUUUUAAAAAGAGACUUAGGUCUUAAAGACAGCCCGGGAUGAUUUUUGAACGCUACAGGAACCUGGGUUAGCUAACUAAAUAAUAAUGAGCUUAUUUUCUGAGUUUGCAACAAUAAGAUUCAACGCAUCCUGGAUGCUGAUGCUCAAUUCGAAUUUUGAAACAAUAGGAGUAAAGAAAUUCCAGAUAUCGACCAAAAAUUGGUUCGCAACUUGCAACAAAAGAUGAAGAUGUUAAACAUAUGUCAAUAAAUUACCUUCCUACAAAUCAAGUUUCAAAUGACUACUAUAUAACCCGGAUAAGUAACGGUGGCCAUUGGACAUGUGUCGGACCAAGAGGCUGUUGUUGGGUGCUGCGCUGCCUGGAGUAUAGGAGCUCCAUCUAUUAUUUCUUCCUGUGGUGAAUCUGUACAAGACCGGUGGUCUUAAUAAAGCUUUUGUGUGUAUAUAUAAGUAACGAAGAAAUGUUUAUGUGGGUUUGUUUGUUCUGCAAACGUUUUCAUAGUAAUCAAAGCUUUCAUAUAAAAUUUAACACGAAUCUAGAGAUAGGCUUAAAAGGAAUUCACUGUAAUGAUUUAUACCUCGGAAUUUAUGCAAAUUUGUAAAAUUUGCAUAUUCCGUUUAUUCCGAACAUGUUUUAACAAUAUUUAGUAGAUCUAAAUAAAAUUUUGACACUAGGUUGGGUCGGAGAAUCUGCCAUAAUUUCAACACAAUAAUAUUGUUAAUUACAGGCUAAUUGACAUAGUUUAUUUCACAAUAAUUUGAUUUGUCAGGAUGGAAAAUUUAGCAAGAUAUAUAGCAAUUCUAGGAGAAGUCACUGUUAUAGUAUAACUCUGAGACAUAUGCAUAUUGCAACAAAGUAUUUAUUAAUUUUAUUAUUUUAAUAACAGAGUGGUCAUUUUUAUGUUUAUAUUUUGCUACUCUGUAAAUUUCCCUCGUAGCUUAUCUUUUGUUUACCAUUCAUAGUUUGUCCUUGCCUGAAAUAAAUUGUCUCAUCCCGAAGUUGGUCUUCCCUAAUUUUCCACGUGGCAAUAUUAUUUGAUAACUGGAUAAUUCACAUAUUAUGGGGGAGAGAUCGGAAACUACUACUAAUUAAAAUAUAUUAAUGAAUUCCCACAUCUUCGUUAAAAUUAAACGACUAUUACUAGUACAUUGUUAAUAAUAAUUAAUAAUUAACUUUUGUUAAAACACAAUAUUGGUUAAUGCAUCAGCGCGCCAUCUGUUAUGAAAAUUCGAAACUAUUAUAGACGUGUAUGAUUCUUUUGAAAAUUAAACAAUUUCUACUGCCCUUACUGCAAUGGAAAAAUUAAAGGGAGGGCCUCGCUCAUCAGUGGUGAACCCUCCCAUCGGUUUCGCCAGUUUACCCUCCCUUUAAUUUUUCCAUUGCAGUAAGGGCAGUAGAAAUUGUUUAAUUUUCAAAAGAAUCAUACACGUCUGUAAUGGUUUCGAAUAUACAAUAUUGGUUGGUCAGGUAUUCUCUCGGUCAGAACCCGGGCGAAGCUGAAAUAUUUCUCUAGUAACCAAUACAAUAGUAGAGCUAUCUAGAGCCCUAAACAGACUCCAUACAAGAUCUAAAAUUGAUGGAUCAGUAGGUUUAAAGGAAGAAAUUACUGUAUUUCAGUUAAUUGUUAAAAUUUAAUAUAUUAUAUUGAACUUUUUCAUUUAUACAAUGAUGGGAAAAAAUCAAUUUACCAUUAGGUAAAUAUCAAAAUUAAUAUCAAGACUGGGUUUUACAUUGACAUGAAACAAGUUACUGAGACUUCACAUCAGCAUUUUAUCUCAUGUCACAAUCAAACGUAACCACAUAGGUGAGACAGGAAGAUCNNNNNNNNNNNNNNNNNNNNNNNNNNNNNNNNNNNNNNNNNNNNNNNNNNNNNNNNNNNNNNNNNNNNNNNNNNNNNNNNNNNNNNNNNNNNNNNNNNNNAAUACAAGUUAGACUUAACGAACACAACAGAAAUAUCAGAACAAAAUACCAACGUUCAAUGAUCUAUCAACAUAUUGCACAGACCGGUCACCAAUUUAACAUAACAGAAACAAAAUGUCACUACAAAAACAUUAAGAACAAAUAUCAACGGUUACUCUUAGAAUCUCUCGUUUCCAAUGAAUAUAACAGCAUAAACAGAAAAAUAGAAUCACCAUCACAAUACCGAUAUCUCAGAAGAAAUCAAUAAAUCAAUUUUAUAGGUUCUGGUUGCCCUAAAAAUGAGAAUAUAAAUAUUCCAUAAAAUUGUUAAAUUACAAACCAAUUUAAAAUUUUCAGUUAUAAAUAUCCACGCUGCGUGUGUUUGUUUUUGUAAAUAUUCUGGUAGGAUAAAGUCGAUAUUUUAUUAAGCCCGUUGAAAAGCGAUAAUCGCUUGAAAGCUAGCGUUUUUUAGUAAAAAAAAAAAAAACUCAUUGUGAGAAAAUAUUCGUAAUUUUAAAACACAUACAUUUGUGUUACACAUCAGGAAAAUUAUAGAUAUAAAGAUUCAAUUUUCUUCCGUUUCCAAAAUUCUUGGUUUUUUUCGCCUUUUGGCUCCAUAGAAGGUUUAAGAGAUUGGUAGAGCUUUAAAACGGAGGGUUUAGGAAUCCGUCAGGUUAACUUUUGACAACACCCUGCCUGAUACCAAUCUCUUUCCACCCCGGUUGAACCAUUAUGGUUUCUAUCUACGGUUUUAUUAUCUAUAUAUACCCUCCCUGGACAUUUUAUUUUUCCGUUUAUCAUUACUCUUCACAAUUCAUCCUUUCAUACUUCAUCCCUAAGGUUAGAAAUAAUCGUUAUUUCCCCUUAAAAUAAAUUUCGAUUUUUCGUUCAAAAGAAGCACAUGCGGGAUAAUUUUCAAAUGGCGUUCUACAAUCAAAGGCCGCAUUAUAUUGUAUUAUAUAUUAUCUACAAUUUGCACAAUAGGGGAAUUUCUAUUAUAUCCUAAUACUUAUUUAACAAAAAAUGGAAAAUACAAAAAUAUUCUUUCAAAAUAUUUUAAACAUUCUUUAAUUGUUUAAAUAUAUAUUAUCAUGGUUCUGCCUUUAUAUAGUUCUUUUCCUACUGAUACCUACUGGUAGCUCUCUUCACUUAUAUUCUCCUCCUUUCCCCCCUAUGUUCCGUAUGUUUGACGCGUAACUGCCGAAGCUUUUUCGUGAUCUUUGUUGUAGCUCAAAAUUGUUUUCAAAAAAUAAUUAUUUUUGAAAUUUCUAAUACAUUUUAUAACAAAAAUAUCGACGCACCAAGAAAGAGUUGUCAGAUUAGGAGAAAAAUUGGUGUAUGUAAAGAGCAUGUAUAGGGGAAAAAACGAUUAAAAUUUCAGAAUAAUUAAUUGUUUUAUUUCAGAGUUUGAUCGUCACAAAUUGAGAAUGUCAAUAUGUCGUUGGACCCCCACUGGCCUGGAUGCAGGCUGCCACCCGGCGUGUCAUGGACUGAUAAAGAUUCCGGAUGGUGUGCUGCGGGAUUUCUUGCCAAAUUGUCUCCAACUGUCGGGCUAAAUAGUCAACAUUCCGGGAUGGUUGCAAUCGCCUUCCCAUCACGUCCCAGAUGUGCUCUAUGGGCGAGAGAUCAGGCGAACUUGCUGGCCACGGAAGAGUUCGGCAAGAUUGAAGACAAUCCAUAGUAACACGUGCCGUGUGUGGCCGGGCAUUAUCUUGUUGAAAAGUAAGCCCGGGGUGAUGUGAGAGGAACGGCAACAAAACAGGCCGUAGAAUGUCAUCUACGUACCGUUGUCAGGGUGCCAGGAAUGACUACCAAUGGGGUCCUGCUAUCAAAUGAAAUGGCACCCCAGACCAUAACGCCCUGUUGUGGACCUGUGUGGUGUUCGACAGCAAGGCCAGGAUCCACACGCUGCCCAGGACGUCUCCAGACACGUUUGCGACGGUCGUAAGGACACAGUAAGAAACGGGACUCGUCACUAAAGACUAUACGUCCCCAGUCAGCGCAGUUCCAAGUUGAUCGCUCCCGACACCACUGUAGUCGGACUUGUCGGUGCACGGGUGUGAGGGGUAGGCAUCGUAACGGUCGGCGAGCUCAUAGAUUCCGCUCUCUCAGUCGCCUGUUGAUGGUCAUUUUGGACACUUGUGUGCCGGUCACACGUUGGAUGGUAGUUAACGUGGAUUCCGGUGCUGCGACAGCCAUUCUGACAAUUUCUCUGUCCUCCCGUUCUGUUGUUGCCCUUGGUCCACCGCUGCCAUCCUGACGUUGCAUACUUCCGUUGUUGACCCACUUUUGCCAACAUCGCCUAAUAGCCGCAUCACUUCGACACAGAUGUCGCGCGAUUAGUCGAUUAGACCAACCAGCCUCUUUCAAUCCAAUGGCACGACCAGUUUCAAACUCUAACAUAUGUUCGUAAUGAGCACGAAUCUUUCGGCGAGGCAUUGAUACAGUAGAAAUAGGCGUACUGCUAAAAUAUUAAACGGAAAUUCUGAAAAUCAGCUCGUGCCGCGCAGAAUAUUGAGUCUAGAAUGCUCGUGCUGGAUGCGCAGUUCAGAUGCGCUGGAGCUCUUGCUUUGCAUAAUUCGGCCACCAAAUUUCAAUCAUUUGCAUGUUUGGUCGAAACCUAUUUGUAUACGUAUUUUCAUAUAAAUCGGUCAACUGCUUCUUGGUGCGUCGAUUUUUUUGUUAUAGAGUAUAUAUAUGUCAUAAUUUGUAUAUAAUUAAAUGCGACCCCGACCCACUAUGUAUGUACCAUGUAUGAUUUUCAAAGACUUAAUAAAGAACAAGGUAACUGGAGGAAAGAAAGUAACAAAAGAUAUAGGAAGUAAGACUAAAGCUGGCACGACUAUUUUGGCACCCCUGUGUCAACAUUGCAGGGGCAGAGACCGGGCGUCUCUAGUGACCGCAGAAGUUAUUUUAGCCAAGAUUCACUCAAUACUUCCUGACAAACAGGACGUGUCGAGUGACCAGAAGUUAUAAAAGUUUGAGAGAUAUCCAGUACUUCCGGCAAAAACAGGACGUGUCUAAUAUCCUUCGAAACUAUAAGCGUCAAGACACCAAACACUUCCUGACGAAAUCAGAUAUACCAGGCAGGGCACAGCUUUCACCAAAGGAAGCCGCCGGCCUAUCAGAAGAUAGCACCUUAAGUAGGUCAACCAAUAGGGAAAGAUCAUGUGAGAUCUCUCAACCAAUCAGAGAGAAACUGACUCGUGGUGUUAAAUCGAAAGACAAGAAUGGUUAGUAGUGAUUUAGCUUCCAAGAAGGUGACAUCUGCUCUAGACCUCUCUCCCUCUGCUCAUCCCACAGCUAAGUACAAUCACCGCCAUGUGAUCAACUAAUUAAUAAGUCAAAUCGCUCAGUUCUUCUCAAGCUUUCUUUCCUCCAACCCGUUGCCUUAUAUUUCCAAACUCAAUCACGUGUCCUGAUUAUUCCUAACUGUGUGCUUCACUUACCACUCAACGACUGCGCUUCAACCAAUCCUCACCAUUCAAAUCCAACAACAAGGAACCCCGCAACGAUAUUGCCACAGAACGGUUAAGUCGACAGGAUUCUACAACAGUGUAAUACAUCAAAUAUUACAGUGUAAUAACAAAAAUUGCAUCAGCAUAUUACACAGAGUCGACAGGAUAAAGAUUAUAGAGCUUAAUCAGGAUAAAGAUUAUGGAACUUAAUCAGGAUAAAGAUUAUAGAGCUUAAUCAGGAUGAAGAUGGAAAUUAACCCAGGCGCCAGCACAACAAAAGGCAAUGACAAACCAAGAGAGAACAAACUGGCAACGAGCGGAAAGAAACUGACAACGAACGAAGCGACAAGACAUACCCUGGCGACGGUAAUUUUAGAACUGACCGCCGCGCUACAAGGGGCGAGAUCCACGCAACUGAAAGCGGUCUUCCGGAGCGCCACCCUCGGGACAACCGCCGCCCGCCCCGCCGGUACGUGUCCGAACAACCUGACGUCCACCGAGUUAUCGCCAUCCGCCAUGCCGUACCCGUGCACCCGGAAGCAACCCACGCGACACGGACCCAGUGUACCGACAACGCGAUCCACUCGAAUGGAAGCAGUACAAAUGACUAGAUUUCCCUUUCAAUCGCGGGGACAGUGCAAAAGGUCCCGACCCGGUUCAACAGAUAUUCCAAGCCAACCACACCAAGCCGAAGACGCCACAAUGGAGACUUUUCGAGACUAAGGUAGGCAAUCCACCCAAUGACAUCAUCAAAUUAACUUUGGACUUGUAUCUGACCCAGGACCUACCAUGUACCUUUCUCAUUGAACCAGACGCAGGUUCGAACAUAUUGCCGUAUCAUUUAUACAAUAGAUUAAAAGCACAACUUCCCAACUUAAGUAUUAAAAAACCUUCCCUUGAUCUAUCCACCCUAAAUAGUUUUACGAAAAUAAUAGGACAUUUAACUUUCCCUCUGACAAUAGGCCAAAUAACCCGUAGAGAGAACUUCCACGUGGUAAAUGCAUCCUUGCCAUUUGGAAUUCUUACCUUAGAAACCCUUUAUCAAUAUAAAUUAAAACUAAAUUAUAAUCGCGGCACUAUUUUCCAACUUGGCGUCCCAUUGUCUAAUACUAUCUACCACUUUAAACAUGUGUCAAAUGAAUGCAAGCACGGGCUAGGCCAAAACCUGUCCCAAAGGACUCGCACAGCACCCAAAGCUUUCACACAUGGAAACCCUUGCCUGCAUUCAUUGCCCAAACCCCAAAUAUUUACAUGCCACCAUUCUAAUCUCACACCACACAACUUUUCGCUCAACUCAAUUGUCAAUACUUUAUGCCCACCACAUACAAAGCCACCACGACUUCAAUCUACAACUCCAUUAAUGCCCAAACAAGUGUCCGUACACCGACACAGCUCACCCACUUACCACACAAGAUUCACACAUGACCAUACUUCGCAACGCCAUAAACACGCAAAUGUACCUCACAACACACGCACCCAUACGUCGUCACACAACGGUAACACACACAACCCGCACAACACACGCAACACGCACGCCAAAAGACAACAACAACAAACAAACACAUGCACAACCGUUAAGAAUAAUACAAUCAUCCCAUCUACACAAAACAUAGAAAAAAUUCACGCCACCGAACAACCACACAAUCGAAAAACCUUGCGAUCUUUCCUAAAAGCUGUGAACGUCUUUAAAGAAUUCAUUCCAGACCACGCCCGCUUGCGGACGCCACUUAUCAACCUUCUAAAAAAGGAUAUCAUGUGGGUCUGGGAUGACGAAUGCCAGAAAGCGUUCACUAACCUGAAAGAAAACCUUACCACACACCCCACAUUACACCUUUACCAGGAAGGUCUGCCAUGCCAGGUGUACUAUAAUACCUCAACAUUCAGCAUUACAGGCGUUCUUAAACAAGUCUACCCUGAUGGGAAGACAUACACCGUUCAACAUUUCAGCCGAUCUCUACGUAGUCACGAGCGAAAUUAUUCAGACUUGGAACUACAAUGCCUAGCCAUUGUGGAAAGUGUGGAUAAUUUCCGCACCUGUCUAAUGGACAGAAAGUUUACAAUAUUUUCUGACCAUCCCGCAUUGCAGUGGUUGAAAGAGAUCAAAGCUCCGUCAGGCAGAUUGUUUCGAUGGAGGUUAAGAUUGUCAAGAUACGAAUAUGAGGUCCGUAGCAUAAAUGGAGUACAACAAUAUGAAACGGGCGUUGUAACUCGUAUCCCAUUUUGUGGCUUUCUAGAUGCGCCACUCAUAAAGAACCAACAAUCUUCUCCACCGGGAAAAUCCCGCGUGACUAUGGAUCCCAAUAAACUGCGCACCGUCUCCCGAAAAGGAGUACUUAAAACUAUAGUCCCAAAUUCAUUUACAACCAGACUUCUUAAGUCCGUACACACACAACACCACCACCCAAACAUCUCCAAGAUGACGAGACUCAUCUCAGCACAAUAUUAUUGGCAGAACAUGACACAAGACAUCGCAAAACAGGUGAAAACCUGCCCCACCUGCCGAUUCGCUAGAAGAAUCGAUGAAUACAAACAACCUGCACGUAAAAAUACCGACACAGGUACCCAAACAAAACAAAAUUCGUACAUAAAGCACAGCGUACACACAACACAAACAAUGCCAAAAUUACCACAUCCACGUCAGAGAAACGAUCUCACGUCUCAACCUAAACCAAUUACCGCCGACAUAUCUCUAAUAAAACCAUUGACGAUCAAGCAGGAGAACUGUAAACCUGACAACCAGUUCAAUCAUAUCACACCACUCCCUAAAGAUCUCAGACAGGAGAACUGCGAACCUACCAAUCAUUCAAAUUCUACAAUUCAUAAGGUUCAAGCAAAUAUUUCAGAGUCCCCAGUUACAAAAAUGUGGACGAACAUGGGGCAAUAUCCUAUCUUUCAUCUGAUUUUUAUCCUUUGUUUAUUAAUUCUACCGUACAACUGUAUUCCAAUUUUAUUCAUUAAGUACUUGUGUAUCUAUACCAUGCCCGCUCGUAAAAUCUUCGAACUACAAGAGGCAGUUUUUAAUUUUGGACAAGCAUUUAUAAAACUUCUCCUAAUUUUAGGAACCAUCCUCGCAGAAAAUCUAAAUAAACUCCGCAGAGAUAGCAAUAACUGAAAAGAUAACCAACCAGUGUCGGAGA
rnacentral:piRNA from 1 species